rnacentral:misc_RNA from 1 species
AUUUGGAUAAGCAGCUUAACAUUGAGUGGCCGUCCCCUUCUUGUUCAUACUCUGCCUCUCCAAAUUCCCCUAAUAUUUUACCGAAACUCACCACCGCACUUCCAUCAUGCCCCCGAUACCAUCAGUAUCCCUCUCUAAUCGUCGUCCCAUUAGUGUCAUCGUUAGCCAUGGCCAGUUCCGCCCUUACUCUCUCUAGCUCAUCUCUUAUUAAACCCACUUCAAAAUUCACAUUCUUUCGCACCAAAUUUGUUGUCAGAGUUCAAAAGACUUCAAUUUUUGCUAUGGCUGCAGCCCCCGGUUCUACGGCCACUGCUGCUGAGGUGGCCCCGGCCGUGAUAGUCGGCGGUGGACGGGUAGGAAGGGCCUUGCAAGAACUGGGCAAUGGUCAGGAUUUGCUGGUGAAGAGGGGAGAGUCUGUGCCACUUGAUUUCGAAGGCCCCAUUCUGGUCUGUACCAGGAAUGAUGAUCUUGAGGCUGUUCUUGAAGCUGCUCCCAAGUCCAGAUGGAACGAUUUGGUCUUUUUCCAGAAUGGGAUGCUGGAGCCGUGGCUUGAAAGUAAAGGCCUAGGAGAUGCAGACCAAGUUCUCGCAUAUUUUGCUGUUUCGAAGCUUGGGGAACCUCCUGUUGAUGGAAAAACUGAUACUAAUCCUGAAGGAUUGACAGCGGCAUAUGGAAAAUGGGCAUCUGCUAUAGCUGCAAGAUUGCAUGCUGGAGGCCUUUCUUGCAAGGUCCUUGACAAGGAAGCUUUUCAGAAGCAAAUGUUAGAGAAGUUGAUCUGGAUUGCAGCAUUCAUGCUUGUUGGAGCUCGUCAUCCAGGGGCAAAUGUUGGUAUGGUGGAGAAAGAAUACCGCUCAGAGGUAAUGCUGCCUUUCACAAUGAUGUAUUUGGAAGCAUCAGAUUUUGUUUACUGCAUGUCUCUCAUAUUGCUAUGCUGAAUACAAAUAUAAAAUUUUAUAUUUCAAGUGUCUUCAUUUGGUUGUUGUAAAUGAUGUUUGUAAACCCAUGUACAAUUGAGUGCUUUUCAUGGCAUAUGGCCUUUAAUCAUUCUCCAUUGUACAUUUUUUCUUAUCUGUAUUUGAUUUUGAAUCAGUAUCUGGCACUUAAGGAUAGUGGUUUAUUAAUGAAGAUGUCAUGCUUCAACUAGUAUGGCAAAUAUGAGAUUAUCCCCGCAUAUAUUUUUUUCCAGAUUAGUGAAAAAUUAUAGUUUUCUUAUGGACAUGUACAACUAUUGAUAAUUGCCUGUUCAUGUGCUGUUUUGAAGUGUCAAAUUUAUUAGAUCGAAGGUAGUGCUAGCUCUUAUCCUGAUCACAUGCAUAAAAAUGUGGAGUGGUUCAUUGUUUAAAAACCCUGAGUCUUAUUCUUGAUGAUUGAUUUGCUCUCAUAAUUAAUAACUAGUGGAAGGCGGCUUUGUUUUUGUGGUGAGUUCCUUUCUACUAGUGCAUAUGUCACUCUUUUGCCAGUGGAGAGAUUCCUGAUUACUCUGAGCAAUGAAUCUUACAAAUGUUGAAUAUGACCUCAUGCCAGUAUUGUGAGGUUCACUUUUUGAUGGGCAUGUCUUCCCAGUUCAUUAAACUAUUAACAGGCCAAAUGGGGGUUAAGUUGGUAUUUUAAUAAUCUAAUUUAAUUCAUUCAACAAUUGCAUUGGUCAGUUAAGCCAAGGUCACAUUAUGAGAUGAAUUUUCCUAGUUCAAUAUCAUGUGCACACCUUUGUUAUCAUUAAAAUACAACCGAUGUUGAUAUGAAGCAACAGUAACUAAAACAUUCAGUGUUACUGAGAUUUUUGCUUUCAGGUGUCUAGCCUUAUUGCAGAACUUGCAUCUGCAGCAGCUGCAGAAAAGGGGAUAGUAUUCGACGAAGCUAUUGAGGACAGGUUAUGUGCUUACUCAAGAGCUGUUGCCCACUUCCCAACAGCUGUUAAAGAGGUAAAAUUCUUCUCACACAUCAUAGCUUAGGUUUUUGAGCAUACACAGAUUACUGUGGCCUGUAGUUCCCCUACGGUGCCUGUUCGAUAAACAAUCCAUCCAAAAUAAGUUGGUGUUAUUUCAAUAGCCUCCCAUUGUAUAGUCCAAACCAUUGGACUUGCAAAAGAAAAAGAAUCUCAUUUGAAAUUUUAAUUAUUGCAGUUCAAAUGGAGGAAUGGCUGGUUCUAUUCUCUCUCUCAGAAAGCAAUUGCUGAGGGGAAACCUGAUCCUUGUCCGCUACACACAGCCUGGCUUAAGGAGUUAAAAGUUGUCUAGGUUAUCAACAUUUCAUUUUAUUCAUGAAUUGGAAUACAAGCUUUUAAGAGUACCUGUAAAAAUAGUGAAGUUCAUAUAUAUUUGUUCUUCAGCUUCUAUUUUGCCCUUGACAUGCAACUUGGCUGUAAUGCAUAUAUUAUCCCAAUUUACCUAAUGAAAUUUUGUUACCGUUUCCUUUCUCAAAAA